UGGCGCAGCGGCGGGGAUCCCCAGCUGACCUGUGGGGACACAGGGAGCUAGUCACGGGGUGCGGGGCCGAAGGUCCUCAGGGCUAUGCCAAGGCCGAGAGGCACCCAGUCACCUGUAUCCUCCCCUGCUCUUCGUGGCUCCCCAGUGCUGUCCUUUCCUAGACCCACGCCCUCCCUUGGCCAAGACAUUCCUGGCUCAGGCUCCGUCCCACCCCUUCCUUCUCCCUCCCUUCUUGCACACUGGCCUCCCUGUGGCCACAGCCACGCCUGGUCUCCAAGUCCCCAGCAGGGUGCCGGGCACGGGGCAGCCCUCAGCCCAACGGUGCGAGUCAAGAAAAAGCCGGCCCACUCCUUGGAAAACUGAAGCAAGAAGAUCAAAGUUCAAACCCAGCCUGGACAACGUAGAGACUUGGUAAGACCUUGCCUCAGAAUAAGAAAGGGCUGGGGAUGUAGCUCAGGGUAAAAGCCCUGGGUUCAAUUCCCAGGAUGACAAAAAAAAUUUUUUUCAUUAUAAGACUUAGUUUAGUUUGUUUUUUGAGAGAUGGUCUCACUCUGUACUUCAGGCUGAUCUUGAGCUCACUGUGUAGCCCAGGCUGGCCUCAAAAUCUCAGCGAUCCUCCUGCCUCAGCCUCCUGAGUGCUGGGAUUACUGGCAUGUGCCACCAUGCCUGGCUUAUUAUACCAUUGAAAAGGGGGGGGCAAGUUGGAUGUGGUGGUGCAGGCCUGUAAUCCCAGCACUCAGGAGGCUGAGGCAGGAGGAUCACAGGUUCUACCCCAGCCCAGGCAAUUUAGCAUCUUAGUGAGACCCUGUGUCAACACAAAAACUGGAAAAGGGCUGUGGUGCAGUUCAGUGUGAGGGCCCUGAACUCCAUCCCCACACCGUAUGUGCAUACAUGCACACACACACAUGAAAACAGGCACUGUGUGAGGCUCCGGGGCUGACCAGGGGACAGCAGGGCUAGGGCAGUGGCUGGAAGGGGACAGACCCAAAGUCACCCCAUCUUGGCCCCCCAAGAUGUCUCAGCGGCUGGUCCACGGCUUCUCUGUUGGGGCACCUCACGCCUCAUAAGGCCUGACUUUCAGCCUGGCACUGCCUGGUUUAUUUCACUUUUUCAUUUUAUUUUUGUGCAGUAUUGAGGGUGGAACCAGGGCCUGACCAUGCUCUACAAGCGUUCUACCCCUAGGCGACACCCCCAGACCUUUGAACUUUUUGAGACAUGGUCUCUCCAUGUCGUUCAUGCCAGUCUGAACUUGAGAUCCUCCCGCCUCAGCCUCCGGAGUGGCUGGGAUUAUAGGAGUGGGCCAGUGGCCCGGCCGCCUGAGGGCCCAGUGCCACAUACACAUUCAAAGCGGGGCCACACGUGCAGUGCCGCAGGCGGGG
rnacentral:lncRNA from 1 species